CUUAACCCUGUGUGAGUAUCGAUGUUGUAUAUUUACAACGCGCCACUUCCUUUAAAUGCGUAUUUGCGCCUGCGCGCGGGCAUUUAAACUGCGUCGGCACCCCACAUCUCGCCUGCCGCCUCAGUUUGGUGCCUGCUGUCAAGCUGUGAGGGUCUCUGUGCUACUUCGCCCUCCCUUCAUGGUGUAUGAGCCACUUGCGUUGCAUUUCAGCAACAUCAUUAUACAAGCUGUGACUGUUAUAAAUCAUGUCGAAGCCAAGUUUGACCGACGAGGAGAUAAAUGAGUUGUUGGAGUGGGAUGACUCGGACGGAAGUGAGUACGGGGAGGAUGGGACCGACAACUGGGAGGUUGACGAGGGGGUGGAUGAGGUUUACGUGGAUGUGGAGGGAGAUGAAGAUGACCCUACCCCAAGGCCCUCUGAAAAGGGGACCUCGAGGAGUACCUCCCCUCCCCCACCUCCAUCAAGCCCUGCAGCCACCCCAGAGGCUUCCCCUUCAUCUACAGACAUGGUAACACUUUGCACCACACAAGAGGAGGCAGCAGAGGCAGAAAUACACGACCUGGCAACUCCACUCUCCACUCUGACCCAGCCAGCCACCUUAUCUCGCUCGCCUGACCUCUUGUGUAAACACAGCAGCCUACCCCACCACUACAGUUUCCACCACAACAACACCUCUCUUGCCUCCUGCCAUCAUCACAACUCGUAGCAGGACACUGUUCCAGCCCUCUACACCUCUGCCUUCCACCUCUACACCUGCUGAUGAUCAGCCCACCCCUGCCACCCCUCACCGACCCAAGCGUGGCCGUGUGUUCUCUCCUCUUCCAUCUACGUCUCGUGGGUUGCUGGAUGAUGAUGAUGAAGACGUGGAUGACCCACAACCACUGCCUUCUGCUGAACUCCUCCCCUCUACAGCAGUGAGAUCAUCCAAACGGAGGAGGGGGCCCCAGAAUCCAGUUGCGUAGCCUCAUACGUAACACUUUCAAUGUCCCACCUGAGGAGAGGCCAGCAACACAGCAAAAGAAAACUGAGAAGAGGCAGCGGUGCUUCCUCUGCCCCACCAGAGAGCAGGGACGAACCCGGGUCUGCUGCAGUGGAUGUGGGAAGUCCGUGUGUGCAUCCCACUACUCUGUCUUCUGCCCCUCCUGUUGCUAGGCGUGGAUUUUGCAGAGAACUGGGACUGUGCAGGCUGUGAGAGACAACUGUAAUACACCGAUCUCCAGAGGCUUUAUUUUUUUGUAUGGACAUAAGUAUUUUUUUUUUAUUUUUUUUUUAUGAUAGUUAAAAUAAGGUAGAAGUUUUUUGUAUUCUUUGUAAUAAAGUACAUAAAGCAUUCUGAUUGUCUUUUUCACCACUUAUUAGCACUAAGUAAUGUCUAAAGUAAUUUUAGAAAGAACAAACAUUAAAGUACAACAUACCUAAAGUGGUCAUUUAAAGCGUUAAAGUCACAGUUGCAAAGGUGCAACACGAUAUACAAUAUGGGUACUGAAAAUAUCGAUACUCAUCCAGGGUUAA